rnacentral:rRNA from 1 species
AUUGAACGCUGGCGGCGUGCUUAACACAUGCAAGUCGAGCGGUAAGGCUCCCUCGGGAGUACUCGAGCGGCGAACGGGUGAGUAACACGUGAGUAAUCUGCCUCUGGCUUCGGGAUAGCCACCGGAAACGGUGAUUAAUACCGGAUACGACGCAUCACUGCAUGGUGUGUGCGUGGAAAGUUUUUUCGGCCAGGGAUGUGCUCGCGGCCUAUCAGCUUGUUGGUGGGGUAAUGGCCUACCAAGGCUUCGACGGGUAGCCGGCCUGAGAGGGUGACCGGCCACACUGGGACUGAGACACGGCCCAGACUCCUACGGGAGGCAGCAGUGGGGAAUAUUGGACAAUGGGCGGAAGCCUGAUCCAGCAACGCCGCGUGAGGGAUGACGGCCUUCGGGUUGUAAACCUCUUCCAGCACCGACGAAGCGAUCCUUUGUGGGGAGUGACGGUAGGUGCAGAAGAAGGACCGGCCAACUACGUGCCAGCCGCCGCAGUAAUAC